UACGUAGGGUGCGAGCGUUUGUCCGGAAUUAUUGGGCGUAAAGGGCUCGUAGGCGGUUUGUCGCGUCGGGAGUGAAAACUCAGGGCUUAACCCUGAGCCUGCUUCCGAUACGGGCAGACUAGAGGUAUGCAGGGGAGAACGGAAUUCCUGGUGUAGCGGUGGAAUGCGCAGAUAUCAGGAGGAACACCGGUGGCGAAGGCGGGUCUCUGGGCCAAUUGACUGACGCUGGAGGAGCGAAAGCGUGGGGAGCGAACAGG
rnacentral:rRNA from 1 species